GUGAGGAAUAUUGCGCAAUGGAGGCAACUCUGACGCAGCCAUGCCGCGUGCAGGAAGAAGGCGCUACGCGUUGUAAACUGCUUUUAACCGGGAAGAAACCCCAGGACGUGUCCUGGGUUGACGGUACCGGAGGAAUAAGCACCGGCUAACUUCGUGCCAGCAGCUGCGGUAAUACGAAGGGUGCAAGCGUUAUCCGGAUUCAUUGGGUUUAAAGGGUGCGUAGGCGGAGCGUUAAGUCAGUGGUGAAAUCCUGCAGCUUAACUGUAGACUUGCCAUUGAUACUGGCGCUCUUGAGUGCGCUUGAAGUGGGCGGAAUGUGCCGUGUAGCGGUGAAAUGCUUAGAUAUGGCACAGAACACCAAUUGCGAAGGCAGCUCACUAAGGCGAUACUGACGCUGAGGCACGAAAGCGUGGGGAUCGAACAGGAUUAGAAACCCGUGUAGUCC
rnacentral:rRNA from 1 species